rnacentral:lncRNA from 1 species
CGUGGAGGAGGAGAUUGGAAGCGUCGCGGCAAAAUUUUAGAUUUAGUUAGAUCUUAGAUUUUUAUGUCUGAUUUUGGUUAAUAUCAAAUAACAUACUUAGAUUUAGCAAAAUAAUGUAUAAAAUAAAAGUGAAUGAAGAAAACUGUGAAAAAAAUAAAAACAGUCGCUCUCUGUAGUUUAGGGUUUUGAAAAAAGGUUGGGAUCUUUAUUGUUUAAUAUAAAAUUUUAAUUAAAAAAAAAACUAUGUUGAUCGAACUCAUGUCCUUGCUAAGAGUCACAAAUCAACUAACCACUG